GAUGAACGCUGGCGGCGUGCUUAACACAUGCAAGUCGAACGGAAAGACUCCUGCUUUCAGGGGUACUCGAGUGGCGAACGGGGGAGUAUCACGUGGGUGAUCUGCCCUGCACUUCGUGAUAAGCCUGGGAAACUCGGUCGAAUACCGGUUAGGACGAUGGUUUGUAUGCCGUUUUGGAAAGUUUUUCGGUGUGGGAUGGGCUUGCGGCCUAUCCGCCUGUUGGUUGGGUAAUGGGCUACCAAGGCGUCGACGGGUAGCCGGCCUGAGAGGGUGUACGGCCACAUUGGGCCUGAGAUACGGCCCAGACUCCUACGGGAGGCAGCAGUGGGGAAUAUUGCACAAUGGGCGCAAGCCAGAUGCAGCGACGCCGCGUGGGGGAUGACGGCCUUCGGGUUGUAAACACCUUUCGCUGGGGACGAAGCGCAAGUGACGGUACCUGGAGAAGAAGCACCGGCUAACUACGUG
rnacentral:rRNA from 1 species